UGGAAGCCAGGCAAGGAGGCAGAGUGGGACCCGGCCCUUGUGGGGGGCAGAUUCUUGCCUGCACAGGGGGGCGGGUCUCGGAUCUCCUGUUCUGAGGCCCCAGGGAGCUGGGGUUUGGGUGCAUCCCUCAGCAUCUGGUCCCCAGUCUCCUCAUCCGUUGGGUGGGCAUAAGGACUACUCGGCAGGCUGCUGAGACCACGCAAGGUCAUGAGAGCAAAGCUCCUGUCUGCACAGUGCCCGGUCCCCCUGGUCAACGGCUCAGUGCUCAUCACUGGUGUCCAGUGCCUGGAGGGCCUCAGGUACCUGCCCCAGGGCUGUUUGGAGGACUUGGGGCUCUGGGCUCUGUGUGCCCCCUGUCCACAGGGCCUCUGCAUGCCCCCUUUGCUACCUCCCUCCCCUUUGAGGUCCCUCCCUGGCUCCUUGGUGGCUGGGCAGCGUGACUGCUUCUGCAGAUGGAGGGCUCACUCUCCCAGAGGACACUGGCUCUUGUGGGUUGGGUCAAAGAGCUUCCCCACACCUGGGCCUCAUCUGGCCUAGAGGGGUGGCUCCCCACAGCACCGAUGCCUCAGUUUGGGACAGGCGGGAAGGUGGAUCCAGGAUACACAGGACUUGGCUAGGAAGAGACCCUGGCAGCUCUGCCUCCAUUUCUUUGAAAGCUGGACUUGGCAUACAGACUGUCCACCCUCUUCCUCCUGGAGAUCUCCCUCUUGCCCUCUGGGCCAGCCGCAAGUGCACAGCCCACCCAGGACCUCUCCUGCCCUCUGUACCCACCGUCUGCCACCUCACUGUGGCCCUGGCUGUUUGACCGACUGGAGCAGACGGUGGUGGCUGGGAACAGAUGGUGGUUCCUGGCCACGUGUCCCCGGGGUUGGGAGGCGACAGCUGACCUGGAGGGCUGACUGUGUUCUCUGGGUCUCCAGGAGGCCCGGCCUCUCUGAGCCUCACUGUCCUUAGCUAUGAAAUGGGACAACCUGGCACUGGAUGUGAGGGUGGGGACCCUGCCCUGUUCUCAUUCACUCAUUUGCCGGACUUUGUUGAUUGUCCAGGUAUUGACCAUGGUCCCCCUUGGCAGGCGAGCGGAGCUGACUCUGCUCCAGGUCCUGCACCCCAGUCACCCCAGUUUUAGAGGAAAAUUUCAUUAGCCUGUUGCAUUCCGCUGGGACCCCUGGUCUCUAACCUGAGCCUCUGGGUCAGGACUCACAUUCCUGCUCCACAGGAGAGGACACAGGGCUAGCUGCAGCAGUGGCCCCCACCCCCAGCUCCCACGAAAGGACAGGCUGUGGAGGUGACCGGCUGUGACUUCCCACAGCUGCAUCCCGUGCUGGCUGCCUGUGGAACUCACCCUGCGACCUGCAGGACAGGCCCUGUGCCCAUUUCCCAGCUGACCCUACCCCGAGGCCCAGGAGCCCUUUGUGUGUGGUCCUGGGGGACGUCCUGGCCUCCCUGCCGGCUGCUGUGGAGCCCUGGGUGAGCUAGAGGCUGGGCACCCAGACCCUGGCUCUGCCCCUGCUGUGGCUCGGGUGGCCCUGGAUGGGCCCUGGUCCUCGCUGGGCUUCUGGUUGCCGUGGCCAGCAAGGGCCUGGGACAGAGUCACUCCCUGCUCACAGUCUGUGAUGCCAGCCUCCUGGCACAGCUAGUGACCAGUCGGAGCUCAGGAAGUGCCUCUUGCAUGGCGUGUUCCCAGCGUUGUCUCCAGAGCCGACAGGAACUUGGCGACGGGGCCGUGUGACUGAGCUCCCGUCCCCAGGCCCAGCCCUGCCCUCAGCCUGUGCGGACAGCAGGGGUGUUGAGCCAGCCAAGGGGCGAGUGCAGGGACGAGCCGCGGCCACCCUGCGACCCCUGCUCCCAGCCGGAGCGGGGGAAGCUCCCGACAGGUCCCUGCUGGCCUGCUGCACAACGGCCCUUGCCCUCCCCCCGAGUGGCGUCCCAGCCCAUCUGGAAGCAAAGUUGGGUGUCCCCGAUGAGGCCUUGGCCUCCCCAGGACACGUGGACCUGGCCACGACCCGAGGCCUCCCAGCCUCCAAGUGCGUGGCUGUGGAGGGGAGUGAAAGGUUCCCUCGUUAACUGGAAACUCCUGCUGCCUAACGAGGGAGAAGCGAGUGCUGACGAGGUCCAGAGCCCAGGUGUCUGUCUGCUGCCGUCCCAGGAGGAGGCAGGGGCUCGCCCAGGGAGAGCAUGGGCUUCUGAGUGCCCUGCCCACAGGCUGGCUGGGCACACAGGCUGUGAGCUAGGGUGACAUGGGGGCCAGUCACCAACUGCCCACUGUCCACGUGUCAUCUGUUGUGACCCUUGUGUCCCCAUUUAUAGAUGAGGAAGCCACUGGCCAAAGUCCAGGGGCUGGGGCUGGGGUUCAGUUUGGGGCCCCAGGACUGAACAGCACUCCAGCCCCAGCCAAGCUUGGAGGUUACCAUCCAGAGGUGGCAGGAACCCUGCCAAGGGACACAGGGACAAUGGCUUAUCCUGUGGGCAGAGAGAUGCCCCAGCUCCCAAGUCUACAGCAUCAGGAAGGUGCAGAUAGGACGGCAGGCCCUGAGGUCGGACGCCUCUGGUGGGGGCGCGAUUCCCCCACUUGGGGAGGCUGGCAAGGCCUCACAUCCCGGGAGGGACCGGCUGACCGACCCCUGCUCUGGGAACCCACAAGAAGGGUCUUGUGACAUUUAGGAAAAUGUGCAGAGCAUUGUUUGGAGUAGCAGAAGCUGUGCAUUGUCGAAGGUGCAUUGGGGGACCAGCAAACACCCCGUCUCUGGAGUGUGACCAAGCCGCAGCAGGAGACACCCACCAAGCUUUAGACGAAAUGCCUCUGGGAUCACAUCAACUAAAAAAUAUAUAUAUUCAAAAUACCAGAUGAUGUGAAUGCAGAGGGCCAAACGGCGCAGCCAGGUGCUGCCCGGGUCACCCUGGAUUGCUGCCUGUGGAACGUUUUCUGGUUUUGCUUUUGUUUUUUGGUUUUCCAAAUAUCCAGUCACGUGUCCUAUUUUUACAGUGGAAGGAACACGUGAGUGCAUCUCCCCGGGGGCCCAGCGCAGCCUCACGCAGGAUUAAAAGAACCGUCCAUAAACGAACCAUUAAAAGGAUCAUCUUGAGCCACAUCUAGAACACCUGGGAACUGAGUCCGUCUCCACUGCGGUCUCUCGGGCGAACGCUCCCUGGUGUGGGUGGACGGACAAAGCCGCAGCUUAGCAGGGAAUCAUCUCCUCAUGGCUCCCGUGCUCACAGUCUGCACCCACCGCGGAGCCCUGAGACUCUUCUGUCCCCUGCUCCCAGCUCCUCCCCACCCCCGCCGCCCGCUGCUCUGGGCCCUGGGCUCCCCCCGCCCAGAGCUGUCUUCUGGCUUCUGUCUCCUGUGGUCCCACAGCCUCUCCGGCUCCCCACACCCUCCACCAGGGUGGUACGUUGUCCCCGAGGGAAGACCUACAUUGACACUCACUGUCACCCCGAGGCUGCGCCUGUUGGUGCUCUGCCCCGGGCCGCCCCUGCUCACUCAGUGUCUCGGGAUCCCUCCCUGGCGCCCUGCAGCUGGAGUCGUGACCGCAG
rnacentral:lncRNA from 1 species